UACGUAGGGUGUAAGCGUUACUCGGAAUUACUGGGCGUAAAGCGUGCGCAGGCGGUUCUAUAAGGCCGAUGUGAAAUCCCCGGGCUCAACCUGGGAACUGCAUUUGUGACUGUAGAGCUGGAGUGCGGCAGAGGGGGAUGGAAUUCCGCGUGUAGCAGUGAAAUGCGUAGAUAUCUAGAGGAACGCCAAGGGUGAGGACAGGCGACUGGUUUGCAACUGACGCUCAUGGACGAAAGCGUGGGGAUCAAACGGG
rnacentral:rRNA from 1 species